rnacentral:rRNA from 1 species
UACGUAGGGGGCAAGCGUUGUCCGGAUUUAUUGGGCGUAAAGAGCGUGUAGGCGGCCAUGCAGGUCCGUUGUGAAAACUCGAGGCUCAACCUCGAGACGCCGAUGGAAACCGCAUGGCUAGAGUCCGGAAGAGGAGAGUGGAAUUCCUGGUGUAGCGGUGAAAUGCGCGGAUAUCAGGAAGAACACCGAUGGCGAAGGCAGCUCUCUGGGACGGUACUGACGCUGAGACGCGAAAGCGUGGGGAGCGAACAGG